GACGAACGCUGGCGGCGUGCUUAACACAUGCAAGUCGAACGAAAAGGCCCUGCUUUUGUGGGGUGCUCGAGUGGCGAACGGGUGAGUAACACGUGAGUAACCUGCCCUUGACUUUGGGAUAACUUCAGGAAACUGGGGCUAAUACCGGAUAGGAGCUCCUGCUGCAUGGUGGGGGUUGGAAAGUUUCGGCGGUUGGGGAUGGACUCGCGGCUUAUCAGCUUGUUGGUGGGGUAGUGGCUUACCAAGGCUUUGACGGGUAGCCGGCCUGAGAGGGUGACCGGCCACAUUGGGACUGAGAUACGGCCCAGACUCCUACGGGAGGCAGCAGUGGGGAGUAUUGCACAAUGGGCGGAAGCCUGAUGCAGCAACGCCGCGUGCGGGAUGACGGCCUUCGGGUUGUAAACCGCUUUCGCCUGUGACGAAGCGUGAGUGACGGUAAUGGGUAAAGAAGCACCGGCUAACUACGUG
rnacentral:rRNA from 1 species